rnacentral:rRNA from 1 species
UGGAGACCGGCGAAAGGGCGAGGAAUACCUUGGAACGUACCCGGAGGUGGGGGAUAGCGUCGGGAAAGUGGCGGUAAUACCCCAUGUGCUCUAUGGAGGAAAGCUUCGGCGCCUUCGGAGCGGCCAAGGUCCUAUCAGGUUGUUGGUGAGGUAAAGGCUCACCAAGCCUAUGACGGGUAGCGGGUGUGAGAGCAUGACCCGCCGCAUCGGAACUGAGACACUGUCCGGACUCCUACGGGAGGCUGCAGUAACGAAUCUUCCGCAAUGCACGCAAGUGUGACGGAGCAAUGCCGCGUGCGGGACGAAGCGGCUCCGCCGUGUAAACCGCUGUCAGGCUCUAGAAAGAACUGAUCGGAGCCAGAGGAAGGGCCGGCUAAUCUCGUGCCAGCAGCCGCGGUAAGACGAGAGGCCCGAGCGUUGAGCGGAAUCACUGGGCUUAAAGGGUGCGUAGGCGGAGUGGCAGGUGUCUUGUGAAAGCCCACGGCUCAACCGUGGAAUUGCAGGGCAAACCACCAUUCUUGAGGUCGGUAGAGGAUGUCGGAACGUUGGGUGGAGCGGUGAAAUGCGUAGAGAUCCAACGGAACGCCAAUGGUGAAGACAGGCAUCUGGGCCGAACCUGACGCUGAGGCACGAAAGCGUGGGGAGCAAACAGGAUUAGAUACCCUGGUAGUCCACGCCGUAAACGAUGUGCACUGGGUCGAUGCCGCUCUGACGCGGUGUCGGCCGUAGAGAAAU